AGGAAGCUUUAUCUUAAAAGGGGGGCUUGGUUGCAAGUUUUCUAAGCCAUCUUGGUCGACGAAGCAAACCUGAUAAUCAGGAAAACUCUCCCUAACAUGAUCAGCAUCUAGGAAGGUAUCUUUAAAAUCUACUGUCUCAAGGAGGUCUGGCAUAUUAGUCCACUGUGCUGCAGAAGGAUUUCCAUAGCCCAAAAAUAUAUCAUGCAACCAAUCAGGAACUAUGCAUGUUUCAUUCAUCAGAUCCCUUAUAGAUUCUAAGAUGGCUUUGAAAUUAUUCUCCUUCGGUUUCCUCCUCAUCAAUAUAUUAAAUGUACCAUAAAUAUCUUCUGCGCCUUUCUCUGCUAUAUCACCAACAUCCAUAUGGUAUUGUGCUGUGUCAAUCGCAACAGUAACAGUUCUAAGGUCUCCUUUGGGGGGUUUCCACUCGUCCCGCUUGAUUCUCCCAGUAAAAUCGUUCAUCAGGAUUCCCUCCUCAUCACGCAUCUCAAUUAUUUCACAGCCGCGAACACACUGGAGACCAAGCCUCUGUGGUA
rnacentral:misc_RNA from 1 species